CCUACGGGUGGCUGCAGUGAGGAAUAUUGGUCAAUGGACGCAAGUCUGAACCAGCCAUGCCGCGUGCAGGAAGACGGCCCUAUGAGUUGUAAACUGCUUUUGUACGAGGGUAAACGCAGAUACGUGUAUCUGUCUGAAAGUAUCGUACGAAUAAGGAUUGGCUUACUCCGUGCCCGCAGCCGCGGUAAUUCGGAGGAUUGAAAGGUUUUCCGGAUUUAUUGGGUUUUAAGGGUGCGUAGGCGGUCGGAUAAGUUAGAGGUGAAAUCCCUGGGCUCAACUUCGGAAUUGCCUCUGAUACUGUUCGGCUAGAGAGUAGUUGCGGUAGGCGGAAUGUAUGGUGUAGCGGUGAAAUGCUUAGAGAUCAUACAGAACACCGAUUGCGAAGGCAGCUUACCAGGCUACUUCUGACGUUGAGGCACGAAAGCGUGGGGAGCAAACAGGAUUAGAUACCCGAGUAGUC
rnacentral:rRNA from 1 species